GGCAUGGCCGAAUAGUUAAGCAUCUCACUUACACCGAGAAGCAUAUCCAUGCAAACUGGAUUACCCCGA
rnacentral:tRNA from 1 species